GACGAACGCUGGCGGCGUGCCUAAUACAUGCAAGUUGAGCGCUGAAGGGUGGUACUUGUACCAACUGUAUGAGCAGCGAACGGGUGAGUAACGCGUGGGUAAUCUGCCUUUGAGCAUGGGACAACAUUCGGAAACGAAUGCUAAUACCGCAUAAAAACUUUAAACACAAGGUUUAAGAUUGAAAGAUGCAAUUGCAUCACUCUAAGAUUAUCCCGCGUUGGCUUAGCUAGUUUGUGAGGUAAAGGCUCACCAAGGCGAUCAUACAUAAGCGACCUUAAAGGGUGGACGGCCCAAUUGGGAACGAGAAACGGCCCAAAACCCUAAGGGAGGGAGCAGGAGGGAAGCUUAGGUAAAGGACGAAAGUCUGAACGGGGAAACGCGCGGGAGUGAAGAAGGUUUUCGGAACGUAAAAAUCUGUUGGUAGAGGAGAAAGUUGGUGAGAGUGGAAUGCUCACAAAGUGACGGUAACUACUCAGAAAGGCACGGCUAACUACGUG
rnacentral:rRNA from 1 species